AUUGAACGCUGGCGGCAUGCCUAACACAUGCAAGUCGAACGAGCGGCGCACGGGUGAGUAAUAUAUCGGAACGUGUCCUAUCGUGGGGGAUAACUGCUCGAAAGAUUAGCUAAUACCGCAUACGAUCGGAUCUGCCCAUAGGGGAUUAGCUAGUUGGUGAGGUAACGGCUCACCAAGGCGACGAUCGGUAGCUGGUCUGAGAGGAUGACCAGCCACACUGGGACUGAGACACGGUCCAGACUCCUACGGGAGGCAGCAGUGGGGAAUAUUGGACAAUGGGGGCAACCCUGAUGCAGCCAUGCCGCGUGCAGGAAGAAGGUCUUCGGGUUGUAAACUACUUUUGGCGGGGAAGCGGUACCUGAAGAAGAAGCACCGGCUAACUCCGUGCCAGCAGCCGCGGUAAUAC
rnacentral:rRNA from 1 species